AUUGAACGCUGGCGGCAGGCCUAACACAUGCAAGUCGAGCGAGCGGCGGACGGGUGAGUAAUGUCUGGGAAACUGCCUGAUGGAGGGGGAUAACUACUGGAAACGGUAGCUAAUACCGCAUACCAUCAGAUGUGCCCAGAUGGGAUUAGCGAGUAGGUGGGGUAACGGCUCACCUAGGCGACGAUCCCUAGCUGGUCUGAGAGGAUGACCAGCCACACUUGAACUGAGACACGGUCCAGACUCCGACGGUAGGCAGCAGUGGGGAUUGUUGCACAAGUGGCGCGAGCCUGAUGCAGCCAUGCCGCGUGUGUGAAGAGGGCCUUCGGGUUGUAAAGCACUUUCAGCGGGGAGGCGUUACCCGCAGAAGAAGCACCGGCUAACUCCGUGCCAGCAGCCGCGGUAAUAC
rnacentral:rRNA from 1 species